GGAUCCGUCUCAUUCAAUUCAAGGAAUCUUGACAAGAUGUCGUCUUUCUUUAACUGUCAUGUGCCCAUGAGACCACAAUAUUAGAUGUAUUACAGAUGUAAUUUGAUCAGCAACACAGCUAAUUAAGUUUAUAAACUUACUGAAGCAUCACCAGGUGAGUUCUUAUUCUGUUCAAUCCUUUUGCUGAUUAAUUUAUACAUGAAGCUGUCAAUCACUUUAAUAUUUUUCCUUAAU